AUAAAAUCAGAGCCAUCGAUGAGAGACUUCCAUGCUUUGCAGACGGAUCGGAACUGAAUUAACGAUUUAACAGGAAGCCUUUUCAUGAUUUCCUCUUGGAUUUCAAUUGGUUAACCACGAACAAAGAAGUCGAUUCAUGAAGACAUCAUUAUGCUCUGUCUGUGUGCUUCACCAACAAUCAUCAAGACAUCAUGGACCGAACAGAAUCCUGGACGGAAAUUCUUUUGUUGUGGUAGAGAUGGUAAUUCAAUCAUCCAAAACAAGAGGCUGAAAGAUUGUGUUAGGUUUAAGUUGGUUGUUCUGCAUAUCUUGUUUAAUUGACCUAAAAAUAUGUAAAGGUCAAUGUUUUUUUUACUAGUCUAUCAUCUUAAUAUAUUGUAUUUUAAUUAGUUUUAUCUUAUAAAUUUCCCUAA